rnacentral:rRNA from 1 species
GAUUAAGCCAUGCAGGUCUAAGUAUAAGCCGUUAAAAGUGAAACCGCGAAUGGCUCAUUACAUCAGUUAUGGUUCCUUAGAUCUUCGGUAUCCUACUUGGAUAACCCUGGAAAUUCUAGAGCUAAUACAUGCGAAUGUAGCCCCAACCUUCGGGAAGGGGCGUUUUUGUUAGACCAAAACCAAUCAGGGAGAAAUCUCUGCACUUUGGUGAGUCUGAACAACUUUGAGCGGAUCGCACAGUCUCGUACUGGCGACAACUCUUUCAAAUGUCUGCCUUAUCAACUUGAUGGUAGGCUAUGUGCCUACCAUGGUUGUAACGGGUGACGGAGAAUUAGGGUUCGAUACCGGAGAGGGAGCCUGAGAAACGGCUACCACAUCCAAGGAAGGCAGCAGGCACGCAAAUUACCCACUCCCGGCACGGGGAGGUAGUGACGAAAAAUAACAAUACGGGACUCAUCCGAGGCCCCGUAAUUGGAAUGAGUACACUUCAAAUCCUUUAACAAGGAUCAAUUGGAGGGCAAGUCUGGUGCCAGCAGCCGCGGUAAUUCCAGCUCCAGGUGGUUCACCUCACGGUGCUACUACCUGGUCCGGACCUUUGACUGGUACCCCCUAGGUGCCCUUCGCUGGGUGCCUGGGGAGACCAGAGUGUUUACUUUGAAAAAAUUGGAGUGCUCAAAGCAUGCGAAUGCCUGUACUUUCGUGCAUGGAAUAAUGGAAAAGGGUCUCGGUGCCAUUUUGGUGGUUCUUUGGUACUCUAGGUAAUGGUUGAAGGGGACAGACGGGGGCAUUCGUAUUGCGACGUUAGAGGUGAAAUUCUUAGAUCGUCGCAAGACGGACUACUGCGAAAGCAUUUGCCAAGAAUGAUUUCAUUAAUCAAGAACGAAAGUCAAAGGUUCGAAGGCGAUCAGAUACCGCCCUAGUUCUGACCUUAAACGAUGCCAACUGGCGAUCCAUCGGCGGUAUUUCCAUGACCUGAUGGGCAGCUUCCGGGAAACCAAAGUUUUUGGGUUCCGGGGGAAGUAUGGUUGCAAAGCUGGAACUUAAAGGAAUUGACGGAAGGGCACCACCAGGAGUGGAGCCUGUGGCUUAAUUUGACUCAACGCGUGGUUGCAAAGCUGGAACUUAAAGGAAUUGACGAAAGGGCACCACCAGAAGUGGAGCGUGUGGCUUAAUUUGACUCAACGCGGGAAAUUUCACGAGGGCCGGGACACUGGAAGGAUUGACAGAUUGAGAGCUCUUUCUUGAUUCGGUGGGUGGUGGUGCAUGGCCGUUCUUAGUUGGUGGAGUGAUUUGUCUGGUUAAUUCCGAUAACGAACGAGACUCUGGCUUACUAAAUAGGCGGCGGAUCUUUGUAUCCGCUAUGUCUUCUUAGAGGGAUAAGGCAGCUCUAAGCUGCAUGAGAAGGGGCAAUAACAGGUCUGUGAUGCCCUUAGAUGUUCUCGGCCGCACACGCGCUACACUGAAAGAGGCAACGUGUUUGCCUGAUUCGAAAGAAUUGGGUAACCCCCUAAUCUCUUUCGUGCUGGGGAUUGAGGUUUGCAAUUAUCCUUCAUGAACGAGGAAUUCCCAGUAAGUGCGAGUCAUUAUCUCGCGCUGACUACGUCCCUGCCCUUUGUACACACCGCCCGUCGCUACUACCGAUUGAAUGAUUUAGUGAGGACUUCGGACUGAGUCCAAUGCGGCUUUCGGGCUGCGUUGGUAUUUCGGAAAGAUGUCCAAACUGUAUCAUUUAGAGGAAG